GACGAACGCUGGCGGCGUGCUUAACACAUGCAAGUCGAACGGAAAGACCCUGCUCUUGUGGGUUGCUCGAGUGGCGAACGGGUGAGUAACACGUGAGUAACCUGCCCUUGACUUUGGGAUAACUUCAGGAAACUGGGGCUAAUACAGGAUAUGAGCUCCUGCUGCAUGGUGGGGGUUGGAAAGUUUCGGCGGUGGGGGAUGGACUCGCAGCUUAUCAGCUUGUUGGUGUGGUAGUGGCUUACCAAGGCUUUGACGGGUAGCCGGCCUGGGAGGGUGAACGGCGACAUUGCGCCUGAGAGACGGCCCAGACGCGUAUGGGAGGCAGCAGUGGGGAGUAUGGCAGAGUGGGGGGAAGUGUGAUGCAGCGACGCCGCGAUCGGGAUACUGGGUUUCGAGUUAUAAACCGAUUUGGAAGGUGAUGAGGCGGGAGUGACGGUAAUGGGUCAGGAAGCACCGGCUAACUACGUG
rnacentral:rRNA from 1 species